rnacentral:lncRNA from 1 species
CAAAUAUCCUUGUAGGCCAAAAAAUUGCAAGCAACAUUAGAAGAUAGAAUGUCCAUCUUUGCUGUAUCAGCACAACAAAUAAUAUUAUACAAUAUUAAUUAUAAUAAUAUUACAAUAAUAUUACAAUAAUAUUAUACAAUAUUAAUUAUUCAUAAUAAGAGGCCUACAAGCCUGGAUCUUUGCUGUAUCAGUUCUUAUUUUCGUACAUCGAACACACACCAUUAAACUUAAAGCAUGGAAAAACAGACUACUUUUUCUUCUUAUUGAUCAUGUCCUUCUUCAAUUGGUUUGGUUCAGCUUCUUCUUCUCCUAAACUAUAGGAUGAAGCACUAGCUGGAGCCUUCGUCAGGUCUGGUGUU